rnacentral:rRNA from 1 species
UACAGAGGGUGCGAGCGUUAAUCGGAAUUACUGGGCGUAAAGGGUGCGUAGGUGGUGGCAUAAGUUAGGUGUGAAAGUCCUGGGCUUAACCUGGGGAUUGCGCCUAAUACUGUGAGGCUUGAGUAUUGUAGAGGAAAGUGGAAUUUCCGGUGUAGCGGUGAAAUGCGUAGAUAUCGGAAGGAACAUCAGUGGCGAAGGCGACUUUCUGGACAAAUACUGACACUGAGGCCCGAAAGCAUGGGGAGCAAACAGG